rnacentral:lncRNA from 1 species
UCCAUUGCACUUGGGUUUGUUUUGUCUGUAAUGUCUGCAUAUGGUCUCCAUGUUCUAGCUGCUUAAGGAGAUGGCGGUAGAGUCUCCUCCAGAUGAGGAGGAGGUGACAGCAGUGCAGGAGAUGAGAGAGGAGCAGGACAGAGGAGACGAUGUAGAAAGCCCACCAGCGCGCUCACCGAGAGAUCUUCCUCCUCGUCCUGUGAUAAGGCCAGGAUCCAGCCAAUCAGAGACCACCAUGAGACUGCGCAUGACUGAGAAGCUGAGAGCAGCAAAGUCUAAAGCCGCUAGUCUUCUAGAGCAGGACAGCAUCAUUGAGCCUGCCAGCCGUCUACAGAGUCUGCGAGACAGAGACACCCUCACUAGAUUCGACAGAGACACGGGUCCAGAUCUACAGGCCGAUGAAGACUCAUCCUUUGCUGCCAGACUGAAGUUUCGUGAUGCAUCUAGACGUGCAGCCAAAGACAAAAGGGUAAGAAUCUGCUGUUUCUCCUGCGAGGGUGAGAAGCACCAACAAAAAGU